AUUGAACGCUGGCGGCAUGCUUUACACAUGCAAGUCGAACGGUAACAGGCCGCAAGGUGCUGACGAGUGGCGAACGGGUGAGUAAUGCAUCGGAACGUGCUCAGUCGUGGGGGAUAACUACUCGAAAGAGUAGCUAAUACCGCAUACGAUCUAUGGAUGAAAGCGGGGGACCGUAAGGCCUCGCGCGAUUGGGGCGGCCGAUGUCAGAUUAGGUAGUUGGUGGGGUAAAGGCUCACCAAGCCAACGAUCUGUAGCUGGUCUGAGAGGACGACCAGCCACACUGGGACUGAGACACGGCCCAGACUCCUACGGGAGGCAGCAGUGGGGAAUUUUGGACAAUGGGCGCAAGCCUGAUCCAGCAAUGCCGCGUGCAGGAAGAAGGCCUUCGGGUUGUAAACUGCUUUUGUACGGAACGAAACGGCUCUGGUUAAUACCCGGGGCUAAUGACGGUACCGUAAGAAUAAGCACCGGCUAACUACGUG
rnacentral:rRNA from 1 species